AUGGAGCAAUUGGAGAAGAGGAUGGAUGCUGCUGAACAACAAAUCAAAGAGCUGCGUGAAGAUCUUAAUAGGAGAUUUGACCAGCUGGUUGAGAUGAUAAGAAAGGGUGUUCCCCCUGCUACCAAUGAAGGAGAUUCAUCUAAAGAAGAGGAAGAUGUUCAUCAAGGAAGAAGGAGAGGUAAUCUUGGAGCAAGACCGCCACGACAACAUGUUGUUCAACGUGCUUCAAGAAGGCCAAUUUAUGUUGAGGCUUCUGAAGGUGAAGAAUAUGAUGAUGCCCUUGAAGAGCCAAAUCUCUACGCAUAUCGGAGAGCACCCAACCCUACAUAUGCAAGAGAUACAUACAAGGUGACAGCUGAGAUCCCAAGUUUUAAUGGAAAUGUUGACAUUGAAGGGUGCCUGGAUUGGUUAUAUGAAGUGGCGACUUUCUUUGAGGUCAUGGAGGUUCCGGAAGAUCGUAGAGUUCCUUUGGUCGCAUACAAACUGAAAGGAGGAGCCGGUGCAUGGUGGCAUCGCGUUCAAGAGGAGCGCAGGCUGAGAGGAGAACCUCGUGUUAGAACUUGGCGACAAAUGAAAGGCCUCUUGAAAGGGAGAUUUUUGCCCGCUCAUUAUGACCAGAUCCUAUUUAUCCAAUUUCAAAAUUGUGCUCAAGGAAAUAGGACUGUUUCAGAUUACAUGGAGGAGUUUCUAAGGCUACAAGUGAGGUGCAACCUUGCUGAAACUGAAGAGCAACAAGUUGCAAGGUACAUCAAUGGUCUCAAUGAUGCUAUUCAAGAUCGAUUGAUGAUGCAACAAAUCUGGUCCGUUGAUCAAGCACAAGCUCUAGACUUAAAGGCCGAGAGGUUUGUGAGGAUGAGAAAGACAACUAAGGCUCCAUAUCCUCCAUAUCCUCAUACCGAAGGCUCAUCUAGGAGCCAACCUAAUAGAGUGGAAGAAAAGACCACUCCACCAAAGACAAAACAGCCCAUCCCGAAGCAAACUAGAGGCAAGGGUAAGGCAAAUGAAGGCCCAAAGUGCUAUAAAUAUGGUAAAGAGGGACACAUAUCCAGCGGCUGCCCACUAAGGAAAUUUGUUAACACGACUAUCCAUGAUGGUGAAAGCGAUGAGGAAGAAUACGAAUCUGAAGAUGUAGACGGACAAGAGGUUUGUCAAGAAGAAGGUGAAGAGGUGGUAUGUGUGAUCCAGCGUGUCCUAUGUUCCACACCACAACUCGAUGACACACAACGGAAGAAAAUAUUUGAGAGCAAAUGCACGGUGAAUGGCAAGGUAUGCAAACUAGUGAUUGAUAGUUGCAGCUGCGAGAAUCUUAUUUCCCAGAAGUUGGUGGACCAUUUAAAGCUUGAAACCCAUGAUCAUCCAAAUCCCUACACUAUUGGAUGGAUCAAGAAAGGAGUGAAUAUGAGGAUCACCAAACAAUGCAACCUGCCACUUUCUUUGGGUAAGCAUUAUCGCUCAAAUGUGUUGUGUGAUGUGGUUGACAUGGAUGCCAUCCAUGUUCUUCUUGGGAGGCCUUGGCAAUUUGAUGUGGAUACUACACGCAAGGGCAAGGAAAAUUCUUACUCUUUCAUUUGGAACAAGAGAAGGAUCAUUAUCUUACCAAACAAACCCGAAGGUAAUACCUCUAAGGAGGAGGGGAAAACUAUGUUAACUAUCUCCCAUACCUCUCAUGAGUUUAUGGAAGACUUGAAGGAGGCAGAUUUGUGUGCUGCACUUGUUGUAAAGGGAGAAGAGCACCUGACUGUUGAAAUUCCAGCACAUGUACGUGGUUUAUUGGCAGAAUUUCAGAACAUACUUGGGGAGCCACAUGGCUUGCCACCGAUGAGAGGAAUUCAACAUAGAAUUGACUUAAUUCCGGGAGCAAGUCUUCCUAAUCUUCCACACUAUCGAAUGAGCCCUAAGGAGCAUGGUAUAUUGAAGGAGAAAGUGGAGGAAUUGUUGCAAAAGGGGCACAUUCGAGAAAGUAUUAGCCCAUGUGCUGUACCAGCCCUACUCGCGCCAAAGAAAGAUGGAUCUUGGCGCAUGUGUACGGACAGUAGAGCCGUUAACAAGAUCACCGUAAGGUAUAGAUUCCCUAUUCCCCAUCUGGAUGAUAUGCUGGAUCAGCUUAGUGGAGCAAGAGUGUUCACAAAGCUAGAUUUAAGAAGUGGAUAUCAUCAAAUCCGUAUAAGACCCGGGGAUGAAUGGAAGACCGCCUUCAAGACAAAGGAAGGGUUGUUUGAAUGGCUAGUCAUGCCAUUUGGACUCUCAAAUGCACCAAGUACCUUUAUGCACUUAAUGAAUCAAGUCCUUAGACCCUUCUUAUCCCACUUUGUUGUGGUCUAUUUCGAUGACAUCUUGAUCUAUAGCAAGGAUGAGGAUGAACACUUUGAUCACAUUCGGAAGGUGCUAGAAGUACUAAGGGAAAAUGAGCUCUACGUCAACUUGAAGAAAUGUGUUUUCCUGCAAACACAACUUCUUUUCCUAGGAUUCGCCAUAACAUGUGACAGCAUUCAUGUUGAUGAUUCUAAGGUUGAAGCAAUCCGAGAAUGGCCAACUCCUAAGACCAUUUCUGAGGUAAGAAGCUUUCAUGGCCUUGCAACUUUCUAUAGGCGAUUUGUUAAGAAUUUCAGCACUAUCAUGGCACCAAUUACCGAGUGUUUGAAGAAAGGAAAGUUCCAAUGGGUAGAAGCAGCUGAAGCUAGCUUCAAUGAGAUUAAACAAAAGCUAUCACAAGCUCCUGUCUUGGUACUACCUGAUUUCAACAAGACUUUUGAGUUGGAGUGUGAUGCAAGUGGAGUAGGCAUUGGAGCUGUCCUAUCUCAAGAAAGGAAGCCCAUUGCUUUCUUUAGUGAGAAGUUAAGUGAAGCUAGACAGAAAUGGAGUACCUAUCAGCAAGAAUUAUAUGCCGUUUUCAGAGCGUUGAAAACUUGGGAAGUCUAUUUGUUGCCUAAAGAGUUCAUUGUUUAUAGCGACUAUCAAUCCUUGAAGCAUUUUAGAAAUCAAAAGCAUGUUGACCGCAUGCUAGCAAGAUGGGCAGCAUAUCUUGAGAGGUUUAACUAUCUCAUCGUGCAUAAAUCUGGAAUAACUAACAGAGUGGCCGAUGCUUUGAGUCGUCGUGCAUGCCUCUUGACUUCUUUUGAGGCUGAACUUCCGGGCAUGGGUCAAAUAAAGGAGUUGUAUGAGGGUGACGAAGACUUUGGCCAUGUUUGGGUAAAGCACGCAAGGGGCCAACCAUUAGGUGAUGACUAUUUGAUGCAAGAUGGAUAUCUCUUCAAAAAUGAUCGUUUGUGCAUUCCAAGAAGUUCUCUACGUGACAAGCUGGUUAGAGAGCUCCAUUCAAGUGAUCUUAGUGGCCAUGUUGGACGGGACAAGACUAUCGCUAACCUGGAAGCUCGCUACUUUUGGCCAGAACUAAAGUGA
rnacentral:rRNA from 1 species